UGUCUAAGCUUGGUCUAUUUAGUUUGAGUUUUGGUAGUAGCUAUGAUAAAAUUGUUGCUGAUUUUCUUUUCGGAAAGAGCUCAUUUAAAUUGUUGGGCUGGAUUUAUGUUGUUAAGCUUGGGCUCUCUAAACUUUGCUGAUUAUUUUGAGAAGUGUGGGAGGGAGUUCGAAUGUGAUGUGGGGAGGAUUCUUAUAGGCUGAUUGUGUACUGAGAGGCAGGGGAUGUGGUGCCAAGGGCUGCAUUAUGAAGGGUGUGCAGGCUGGAAUCCCCCUUUUUUUUUUUUUUGGCAAGUUCUUGGUCUUCAAGGGAAAAGAAGGUGAGAGGAAAUCUCGGCUCCCAUCCGGCAGCACUUCGAGCAGGCCCGGAUUCACCGAUUGGGCCGACGGGCCGCCCGAAACGGGCCCUAAGUCGGGCCUGAAGAAAAGGCCCGGAUGCACUCCACAUUUUAGAUAUUUUCCCUUCCAUUGUUUAUCUUUCUUUGGGGACUUAAUCCGUGUAACUUAUCCUAUAAAUUGUUGUUCACUAAACAAAAGUCUUGUUCUA